rnacentral:rRNA from 1 species
UACGAAGGGGGCUAGCGUUGCUCGGAAUCACUGGGCGUAAAGCGCACGUAGGCGGCUUUCUAAGUCAGGGGUGAAAUCCUGGAGCUCAACUCCAGAACUGCCUUUGAUACUGAGAGGCUUGAGUCCGGGAGAGGUGAGUGGAACUGCGAGUGUAGAGGUGAAAUUCGUAGAUAUUCGCAAGAACACCAGUGGCGAAGGCGGCUCACUGGCCCGAUACUGACGCUGAGGCACGAAAAGCGUGGGGAGCAAACAGG